rnacentral:lncRNA from 1 species
UCCCUACAUGAUCAAAUUGUUUACGUCUAGGGGCAAGUCUCAAGGAGCUAGGCCUAGGAGGAAGACGACAAUUUUGAAAAAUUAAGGGCAGGAUUGGGGCAUUUCUAGGCAGCAGGCCACAUGUUCCUUAACUUGGCUUGCUAUUGUUAAAGAGAAAAUUAUUCCAGCACCUGUUAAAGUGAUAAGGAAGACUAUUCAAGACUACUGCAAUAGGGACAUUGCAAUAGGUGAGAAAUAGAUCAGUCUCCAUUCUGAGCAUAGCAAAGACAGCUGGAGAUUUAUAGUCAAGGAGCAGAGUGAGGGGGGUCAGUGCAUGGAACAUCACAGAGAGGAGACAUCAAGGGUAGGGGAAUUCUUGCCAAACUGAGUUAAGAUUCUUAUUAAAACUCCCAGCUACUCGGGAGGCUGAGGCAGGAGAUUUGCUUGAAACUGGGAAGCACAGAUUGCAGUGAGCCAAGAUCAUGCCACUGCACUCCAGCCUGGGCGACAGAGCAACACUCUGUCUCAAAAAAAAAAAAAAAAAAAAAAAGAAUCUACAAAUAUACUGUGUUGUUGUUAUCAUGGUCUUGCCUGGAUUGUCAAGCAUCUGGCAUCAGCACUGGGUCAGGUUGGCAGCUCUGCUAAUGCUAUCUCUUACAUGUUUGGGGGUAAAUUCACUGUAGAGACUGCUGGUCUCUCCUCCCCAUCCUGCAACAGGCCAGCCUGAGCAUAUUCAUACACUGGUAGCAGGUUUGCAAGGAAAAGUGGAAGCACACAAGUCUUGUGAGACUCAGAGCUGACACACCAUGACUUCAGAAUUUUAUUAACUAAAUCAAGUCACAAAGACAGCCCAGAUUCAAGAAAUAGGGAAAAAGAGUCCACCUUUUUCCUGGAAAAGGAACUGAAAAUUCACAUUC